CCUCCUAUACUCAGCCGCAGCAAAAUUAUCAGCACCCUGCUUACGUUCCUCCUCCUCCUCCGGCUUCGUAUCCACCUCCACCGCCACCACCUUCAGCACAGCCUCCACCACCACCUCCUCCACUGUAUUACUCCCAGUACACCCAAAACCAGCCCCCACCUCCUUCCUCUCCUCCUCCAAGUUCUUCAAUCCCUCCUCCUCCUCCACCUUCUCAGCCCCCGUCCCCUCCG
rnacentral:lncRNA from 1 species